rnacentral:lncRNA from 1 species
GAAAUCAUAACUUUCUAAAAUCAAACACAAACACCAUAAGAAAGACGAUAAAAUAUGUAGGGAACAGUGAUGAUUUAGCAUUGGAAGCCAGUAGGAACGUUCCUUGAACAAACGUUGAGGAGCAAGCUAAGGGAAAUUGGGAUGUUAAGGUUGAUGCCUAAAAUGUUAGCUCUGAUAGCGGUGCAAAGGCAUGCAGCAGCUUCGAGGUCGACAAGGCCAUUGAGAAGGGAACAGCAUGGCAUCACUGGGGGUGAACCAACGGUGACAUUGACUAGGUUAAGCACAUUGGCACAUACACCUAAUUUGAGGGCAUCCCUAGGGCACCUGCCUUGUGCAGAUGGAGUAGGAGUGGGGGUGUUGGGGUUUGGGUUUGGCCUUGGUUUAGGGUGGGGUGAAGAGCAAGAGCCACAAGCACUGACUAGGGAAAAAAAGAGAAUGUUGAGUGCCAACAGGAGGACCAUGGAAGCUGAUCUUUUAGAAGCCAUUUUGAUCUUCUCUCAAAACCUUAGUGGCUUGCUUUCUUGGCUUUAGAGUUAAAAAGGUAGAAGUGUUCGAGGAUGGGGAACUUGGAGUGAAGGAAGGGGGGGUUUUAUAGUGUUUUCAAGAAGGCUAGUGGGUUGUUUUUUUAAUGUUAGGUUAAUUGAUGAAAUUGUAGAAUAAAUAUUAAGCUGACUUGUGAAGUUUGGUUGUUUGUGAUUUGUGAGGUGGAAAUUAACACACUACCAUGUUACCAUUGCUCCUAUAGGAUCAAUAAUAUACGUGGAUCUGUCUUAGCCUAACUCUAAAUGAAUACCCUCUUGUAAUGUCCCAUGUUCUUCCAAUAUAUAAGCAUAAUAGUGACAACUUACAAACCGCUAAGUAGAGACAAAAUGGAUUACAAAUUAAUAAUCUCUCUUUGUCAAACCUUUCAUGUUCUUCUUCAGCCAUUAAACUUAAAAUUUAUUCAACUUCCCAAUGCAGUAAUAAACUUACUAUAAGCAGCUAAUGUAUCCAAAACCAACAUUAAAUAAUGGUUUCUACUUUAACUCAUUUAAUCAAAUUGUUUUCCUUAAAAACCAUCUGGUACAAACCAGUUUGAGAUGCUUCCAUAUUAAUAUUCAAUAAUAUUAUUUUGAGAUUAUUAAUAAUUACUGCCAACCAACCUCCUAUUUUCUUAUUUGGUUCAAAAAUGGAUGCAAAGUGUUGGAGAUAUUGGCAUGUUGCCAAUGGAAGUUGUUAUCGCUGGAUUCGACUGGUAUGUCACGGGCGAACUUUAGAGCCUACCGUGGAUUCCACGCAAUUAGCCCUAUUUCUAACUUAAAAUGGAUGCUUAUGUUUAUAUUCAAAUUGAUAUUUUAAAUAUUAACUAAUUAUCUUUCAUCUCACUUUGAUAGUUCAAGUGAUAAAAUUUAUAAGUAGAUUUCAACUAUUAAGUCUCAUCUUAGAUGAUUUAACACAUCACAACGUUAUUUUAUCUAAACUUAUGGCACUAAGCUACUUACCCCUAGGUUUUUAAUGUAACCCGCUAUGUGGCACCUCAAAAUAGGGCAUGACCUGGGGCCUUAGAACGAGACCAAAUAACUUGAAUCUUUUCUCUUCCUAAUUUAUCUCCAGCAUUAUCAUUUCUUUUUUCGUAAGUUACUUGUGAAGAGUUUAUCAUUUUUGGGCGACCGCCCUUGAACGCGUGCUACAAUCUUCAGCAUUUGACAAAUGUGAUUCCACCAUAUGAGGAAGCUAGAUCGUUGAAAUUGAUUGCUUAAACAAAAGCUAUAAUUUCCUAUGGAGAAUACAAAUAUUCAUCGCAUUCGAACAAAAGGUUAUGAAUAUGUAUACUCCUGUAAAUUCCAAUAACUCUAAAAUAUUUAUUAACGGAGCAGAUUAUUACCACAUUAGGAAGAACAAAAGUAUUUAUCAUUCCUGUCAGUACAUAAUUAUAUAUUUAAAAAGAUAAAUGUUUGAAACAAUAAAAGAAAUUCCUUCAAAAUUAGCAUUUUCUCAAACCAAAAACUCUUUCAUUAUAUAUAGUAUGAAUCCAUUGAAAAAUCUUCCAAACUUCUCUGCAAAAAUAUAAAAAUAAAUAAAUAAAACAAUAAGAAAUUGUUGUAGAGCAAAAGAAGACCAAAUUGAUUUAUAUAUUCAUUUUUUUUUCUCUUGAAGUUUGACAAAAUUCCAUAAUUGAGUUUUCCAUUUUCAAACCUUUGGAAAAAAAGGAAAGCAAUAUCCAGAAAAUCCGAAGCAAAUAUAACAGCGAUAAUGAAAUAAUUCUUUUUAUAUUACACAGAUUAGUAUGAAGAAAUUAUGUGUAAAAGGUCUGACUUUAAUCAUCGGCUGCAUCAGGUCUGCUUAGUUUGUUCAGUAUUUUGCCAUCCCGUGAAAAAUUAUAUUUAUAAGUUUUUUUUAAUAAACAUAAUAAUUCAAAAAAUAUAGGACAGAAGCAUAAUCGCAACUUCUCUUUUAUUAAUAUUAGAUAUCCAUUAUGAAUGGUGCAAAAUCCAGCAUAAAUAUCAAAUUUAAUUUAGUGUAAUUGUACAUAUAAAAUAUAAGUUGUGAUAUCUAUUUAUACAAAAGAUUUUGUUUUCUUGUUCAAUUAUACAUAUUAGAAAAAUAAAUAUAUACAUUUAUUUUUAUAUCAGAUUAAAAUACUUGUUUGUGCAUGCAAUAUAUCAAUAUAAAAUGGUGCUAACUUAAUAAUAUUGUUAGUGAUUUGUGAAAAAUUGAAUCAAAUCAAAACUUCAUGUAUAAAAUUGCAUAAAAUCAAAGUUUAUGUGUUGUAUAACAUUGCAUACUGGAUCAAAUCAAAAUUAUUUUGUUAAUUUUCUAUUAUGUUAUUAAUAAAUUACAAAAUUAAUCAUUUGGUAGCUUUAACUAUUAAAAUUAUCAAUUUGCGGCUUGCACUUAUUCCAAGUUAUUAUCCUAUUAGUUGUUCAAACAAAAGUUAGAAUAAAAAAAAAAAAGACAAUUCUGUAAGAAAAAAGUUCAAUACAAAAUAUUUGUUAACACGGUUAAAAUUCAUCAAUUCAACUUUACGAAGCCUCUCCUAGAAAAUGAUUUUACUGCCCGAUCCCAUUAUUGUCUUAAGCCUAACCUACCCUUACAUAAUGGAUGAUUAUAGUCCCAAAAUCGAACAAAAAUUAUUGCAAUCACUCUUCUAAAAAAACUCGCCUACAACCAAGAAUAUCUCUCCAACAAAUACGAAUCAAAAUGCACAAUAACUCUCGAAUUAUCAAGUAAAAGCACUUGAAAAAACUGCCAACCUGUGCCAAAUCAAUGGCAUAUUUUCAAAAAUCAAAUAGCAAGCCUUCAAACUUUAAUCACCAAUCGUUUCAAACUAUAUUAUCCAUCAAAUUUCUCCAAACAAUUGGGUUAGUUUGAAUUCUUGAAAGAUAAGGAUGGAGUUCACACAUCUUUAAAUUCUUCUUUUCUCUUCAAGAGUAUUAUCCAAUAAAUAACAUUAAGCUUGAUCAUAUCUAGCUUCCUAAAUUACCUACAUUUAUUGCCUAAAUAUACUUUAUAAAAUAAUUACUUAAAUUAUAAUACCAACAAAAAUAUAAAUAAUUUAAUUGUCACAAACGGCUCUAUAAUAUCACCAUGAAACAUAGUCCACGUAUCAUUAUAAUUUUUAAAUUACAAGAGAAAAAAAUGAUAGCUUUGACCACAGGUUUGGGGAUAACCAUCACUAAUGUGUUGAAUUAUGAGGAUAAUGUGGUUGAAAUCAAAAUGUAAAGCAAGUCCAGGGAAUCUUUGCCUUUUUUGCAGUCAAAUGAGCUUUUUCUAAUGUCCCUUUUUAGUUUCCCAUUUGAGAUUUCUUACAUCUUCCUCAACAAAGUCUCACUCACGGACUCAAAAACUGUGCUUCCUAAUGAGUCUCAACUCAUAUUGUAUUUAUUAAGUUAAAUAUUAGCUAUGAUGUCUAUAAUAAAAUAAUAUAUAUAACAUUAAAUAAAUUGAGAUCGAUAGAGCUUUCGACAGAACAUCGACGACUCUUGAUACAAUGUUGUACCAUUAAUCUAAAAUGAGAUAUUUGAUGUGGAUAAGGAUGGUGCAUGAGAAUUUUCAAUUUUUCGAGGGAUAUUAGUGGUGUUGGCCUGCGAAAUGUAGUUUCUCGAGAAACAUGGCAAACUAGAUUGCUUUCUAUUGGGUUGAGACAGUAGGUGAAAAUCCCAUUGAUUAUUGAAAUUAGUUUGUGUGUUGCUUUGGAGUGGCUGAUGAAUAAGAAUUAUAAAUUGUGGUCAUUUCGAAAUCUAUUUAUGAUAUUGACUGCGGCAUUAACCAGCUGGAUUGAUUUCAAUUCGCAGUUAUUCACCAGCAGGGUAAAGGUAUGGCUGAUGCUCUGACGAAAGCAGAUAUAUUGAGACCUUCGGUUUUUAAGGCCUGGUGGUAAAUUUUGGUUAUUGUCUUUUAGUACUAUUUGAGUGGAGGGUAUUUGUCUUAGGUCGAGUGUUGUAAUCUUGUUGUCCUUAAAAGAGGUUGCUUUCAUCCAACUUUUUUCUCGGUUUGCUAUAUUUUCAAGAAAAAAAAGAAGAAGAAAUAAAACAAGUUGAAUAAUAUAAGUUUUUUUUCAUAUCCAUUGGAAAUACAAUAAACCCUCGUAGAAAAGCACUUAAAAAAGUAUUAGACUUAUUUUAUAUCAAUCUCCAUAAGAAAAUUUAAACAACAAAGUAACUAAUGAUAACAUUGAUGUACCGUAAAUACUGAAUCAUAAUUUUUAAAAACCAAACACAACCACGAUAAGAAAGAUGAGAAAGAAUGUAGGAACAAUGUUGACUUAGCAUUGGAAACCAGUAGGAACAUUCCUUGAGCAAACGUUGAGAAGCAAGCUAAGGGAAAUUGGGAUGUUAAGGUUGAUGCCUAAGAUGUUAGCUCUGAUAGCGGUGCAAAGGCAAGCAGCGGCUUCGAGGUCCACAAGACCAUUAAGAAGGGAACAACAUGGCAUCACCGGGGGUGAACCAACGGUGACAUUGACUAAGUUAAGCACAUUGGCACAUACACC